CAUACAUGUUCAAAUAUAAUCACGGAGUGAUUUAAGUAGCUCAUUUAAAAAAUGCCACCUAAUUUCGCUCGUGAAAUAUAAAUUUAUAGGAUGCAUGUGAGGUGUAGAUGUCGUUCGUGAUAAUUGUAGCGCUGACUGUAGAUGUCGCUGCUGGGCUACUGCUGCUUUUUCUUCUGAUUUAGAUGCGUGGAAGAAAAAUAGGACUCCGGUCGCCGGGAUUCGAACCCGCCUCCCGAACGAUGGUUCAGGCAAAAGUACCGAUACGCGACGCCUGGACGCAAAAACAGGACUGCGCUGCCACUGUCCGACCGUCGAUCGGAGGUGGAUAAAAUUGUAAUAGUCGGUGUAUAUCACUUUGACUGCCACGCCAAAAUCACAUGUUUCGUUCAGGACGCCACGGGAGUAUUUUUAUUAUUCAAAGCAUGUAAUGACAAAAUAAUAAUAAAUUGAUGAUAUAAGACAACAUUCUUCCCCAAUGGACCGUUCAUCUUAUUGAUGGUCACGGGUGACCA
rnacentral:misc_RNA from 1 species